AGCGAACGCUGGCGGCAGGCUUAACACAUGCAAGUCGAGCGGGCACUUCGGUGUCAGCGGCAGACGGGUGAGUAACGCGUGGGAACGUGCCCUUCGGUUCGGAAUAACUCAGGGCAACUUGAGCUAAUACCGGAUACGCCCUUUUGGGGAAAGGUUUAUCUGCGGAAGGAUCGGCCCGCGUCUGAUUAGCUAGUUGGUGAGGUUAUGGCUCACCAAGGCGACGAUCAGUAGCUGGUCUGAGAGGAUGAUCAGCCACACUGGGACUGAGACACGGCCCAGACUCGUACGGGAGGCGGCACUGGGGAAUAUUGGACAAUUGGGGCAACCCUGAUCCAGCCAUGCCGCGUGAGUGAUGACGGCCUUAGGGUUGUAAGGCUCUUUUCUCCGGGACGAUAAUGACGGUACAGGAGGCAUAAGCCCCGGCUAACUUCGGGCCAGCCGCCGCCGUAA
rnacentral:rRNA from 1 species